AGAGUUUGAUCCUGGCUCAGGACGAACAUUGGCGGCGCGCCUAAUGCAUGCAAGUCGAGCGAACUCGUUUUCUUCGGAAAGCACAUAGUUAGCGGCGAACGGCUGAGUAACGCGUAAGUAACCUGCCUCGAAGAGGGGAAAAACUAUGAGAAAUCAUAGCUAAUUCCGCGUAAUGUCAAUUAAUUAAUUUAAUUGAAGAAAGAUUUAUCGCUUUGAGAUGGGCUUGCGUCCUAUCAGGUAGUUGGUAAGGUAAUNGCUUACCAAGCCUAAGACGGGUAGCUGGAGUGAGAGCUUGACCAGCCAGAGGGGGACUGAGACACGGCCCCCACUCCUACGGGAGGCAGCAGCAGGGAAUCUUGCACAAUGGGCGAAAGCCUGAUGCAGCGACGCCGCGUGAGGGAUGAAGGUUCUAGGAUCGUAAACCUCUUUUCUUAGGGAAUAGUUUGGAAGGUACCUAAGGAAUAAGUCACGGCUAACUACGUGCCAGCAGCCGCGGUAAUACGUAGGUGGCAAAUGUUGUCCGGAAUCAUUGGGCGUAAAGGGUCCGUAGGUGGCAUGAAUAGUCUUAUGUGAAAUCUCUUGGCUCAACCAAGAAACGCCAUAAGAAACUUUCAUGCUAGAGAUCAUCAGAGGGAGGUAGAAUUCCAGGUGUAGUGGUGAAAUGCGUAGAUAUCUGGAGGAAUACCAAUGGCGAAAGCAGCCUCCUGGGGUGAAUCUGACAUUGAGGGACGAAAGCGUGGGUAGCAAACCGGAUUAGAUACCCGGGUAGUCCAUGCCGUAAACGAUGAAUACUGGGUCUUCGGGGAAUCGACCCCCUGUGGACCGAAGCUAACGCGUUAAGUAUUCCGCCUGGGGAGUACGGUCGCAAGACUAAAACUCAAAGGAAUUGACGGGGGCCCGCACAAGCAGCGGAGCGUGUGGUUUAAUUCGAU
rnacentral:rRNA from 1 species